CAGGCCUAACACAUGCAAGUCGAACGGCAGCACAGGAGAGCUUGCUCUCUGGGUGGCGAGUGGCGGACGGGUGAGGAAUACAUCGGAAUCUACUCUGUCGUGGGGGAUAACGUAGGGAAACUUACGCUAAUACCGCAUACGACCUACGGGUGAAAGCAGGGGAUCUUCGGACCUUGCGCGAUUGAAUGAGCCGAUGUCGGAUUAGCUAGUUGGCGGGGUAAAGGCCCACCAAGGCGACGAUCCGUAGCUGGUCUGAGAGGAUGAUCAGCCACACUGGAACUGAGACACGGUCCAGACUCCUACGGGAGGCAGCAGUGGGGAAUAUUGGACAAUGGGCGCAAGCCUGAUCCAGCCAUACCGCGUGGGUGAAGAAGGCCUUCGGGUUGUAAAGCCCUUUUGUUGGGAAAGAAAUCCAGCCGGCUAAUACCUGGUUGGGAUGACGGUACCCAAAGAAUAAGCACCGGCUAACUUCGUGCCAGCAGCCGCGGUAAU
rnacentral:rRNA from 1 species